AUUGAACGCUGGCGGCAGGCCUAACACAUGCAAGUCGAACGAGUGGCGGACGGGUGAGUAAUUUCUGGGAAACUGUCUGAUGGAGGGGGAUAACUACUGGAAACGGUAGCUAAUACCGCAUACCAUCGGAUGUGCCCAGAUGGGAUUAGCGAGUAGGUGGGGUAAAGGCGCACCUAGGAGACGAUCCCUAGCUGGUCUGAAAGGAUGACCAGCCCCACUGUAACUGAUACACGGUCCAGACUCCUACGGGAGGCAGCAGUGUGGAAUAUUGCACAAUUGGCGCAAGCCUGAUGCAGCCAUUCCGCGUGUAUGAAGAAGGCCUUCGGGUUGUAAAGUACUUUCAGCGGGGAGGCGUUACCCGCAGAAGAAGCACCGGCUAACUCCGUGCCAGCAGCCGCGGUAAUUC
rnacentral:rRNA from 1 species